GGCUCCCGCCGGCUCAGACCGGUUCUCAGCGCAAACAACCGCCCCCCGCCCGCCGGGGCACGGCGGCGGCGAGCCCCCGCUUAUUCCUUCAGAAACACCCGCUUUACCCCCCACAAAACACCCGCUUCUCCCUCGGAAACACCCGCUGUCCCCACCCUCCCGAAAGAGCCGGGCGAGGCGACUCCGCGGCCGCGCCGCCAUUACAGCGGCGGGCGCGCUCCGCCGGCUGAGGCGAGAGAAAGCGGCGGGGUUUCGGAGCGAGAUAAAAAUCUUAUUAUGCAACGCACAUUUUUAAUAGAUUAUUGCCGAGUCCAGGGCUGAGGUAAUGCGGGCUGUCAGCAGCUGGGGCGAGAGGCUGAGGGACAAGCGGGCUGCGGCCGCUCCCUGCCAAGGGCGCCAAGGCACCAUUUCUUCACCAUCCGUGAGGAGAACUUUGAUAUAUCACGUUAUUUUUUUUCCACAGAAGGAUCUGUUUAUGUGGUUACACAUGCACAGCUCCUGAAGGACAGUGCCCAGCAUGAAGUUCCCACCAGUGCUGAACACCCACCGUGUGCCCCAAACACCCCCCAGGGAACACAACUCUGCGGGCUGAGACCAACAGGACAAGACUUGAGUGACCAAGUUCUUAAAUUUCAGAAGAAUGCAUUGUCAUAAAGACCUUAAUAAUACUAUGGCCCCUCAAAAUUGGCCAUUUCCACUUAUAAGAAAGCCUUAAGAGAAUCUCCAACUAGCUAAAAUCCUCAAGACCACGGAAACUACCGGCAAUAAUUAUUCCCAGACAAAAGAAACUGGAUAUAUCACACAGAAAGUGGGAGCACCGAACCAGGGAAAAGGGGAGUAUCGUCUACUUUUCCAUUACUACAACUAGAAAUUGCCAAGAAAAUGAAAUGCUCAAGCACAGCAGACACUGCUUUUCUUCUCAUUAAAUCUUAAAACUUGGUUCCAGUGGGAUCAUAUUUAGUCCUCUCAAAUUCAGAACAGGAUUUCAUCCUGCCUCGACAUCCCAACAAUGACAUUUUAUAAAUAUUACGAGUUUCUUGGACGCCUUUCUCAUUCCACAAGGAGCAGAGAAGCACCAGUAGAGAUUUUUUUUUCUUCCCCUGCUCGAGAUUUUUUUAUUAAACCUUAAAUGUAACCAGCCCUCCUUUCAAUCCAUUUUCUCUAGGAUUUUUUUGAGACCUCUAGAAAUCUCACAGAUUUUUCUGAGCUGUAAUAAGUGUGAAAAAUCUUUGACAAAGAAUUGUCUUUAUUCAAGCAUUAAGCUCUCAUUGAAAGAGGUGCUGGAAAUAAACAAGUGCUUAAAAGCAGCCUAAAAGUUGUCUUAAAUCUUCACCUGCUCUCCAGCUGAGACAGGACCUGGAUUUCUAAAUCCAAGAGGAGAAAACAAUAAUUAAAAGAAGUAAAUAAAUCCUUGCAUGACUCUUUAGACAUGAGGGGGUGGGGCAAUCAGAAGAGGAGACACUGAUUUCCUCAUCUUCUGUACACUCUCCGUGGGUGUCAGCCCAUCUCACCCUUCCAGAAGGUUCAACAUUCAAGGUAUUUUGUAAAGCCAAGCAAACACAGAGCUAUUGCAGAACCAAGGAAACGCAUCCCCAGGAAUUGCAAACUUGGAUUAUUUUCUUUUAAUUCUUCCAAGUCUACAAAUUUUGCUGUGAGGCAGCAGUGCGAGAAAUGAGAAGGUGAUAAAUCAACCUUGUGAAUGUCAGGCAGUGUCAGGGAGCAAGAAGAAACAGAACAACACCACUCAUCAUUUCCCAAAGUAUGUUGAAGUGUGGUCUGUAAAAAGUAGCUGACCUUAAAAUCUUUUUCUCUCACUGAAGCAAAUAAAAGUGACCCCAUUCUCCAGGCACAACAGGCAGCAAGGCCUUGUGUCCGUACAUCCCUGCUCUGCCCAGCCACCAUCUUACACAUGCUGCAUGGAUCCACCAUGGGAAACAACGAACAGCACCAGCGUUCCCCUCAGAACCCUUGGUGCCAACUGAGCCUUCUGACAUUUCACUGCAGCUCGUUCUACCUCAGCGACCAAAGCUUCGCCAGGGAACAACUCCUCAGGCUCGCACCUCGUGAAACGACCCGCACAGC